UGGCUCAGGACGAACGCUGGCGGCGUGCUUAACACAUGCAAGUCGAACGGUGAUGUCAGAGCUUGCUCUGGCGGAUCAGUGGCGAACGGGUGAGUAACACGUGAGUAACCUGCCCCCGACUCUGGGAUAACUGCUAGAAAUGGUAGCUAAUACCGGAUAUGACGACUGGCCGCAUGGUCUGGUCGUGGAAAGAAUUUCGGUUGGGGAUGGACUCGCGGCCUAUCAGGUUGUUGGUGAGGUAAUGGCUCACCAAGCCUACGACGGGUAGCCGGCCUGAGAGGGUGACCGGCCACACUGGGACUGAGACACGGCCCAGACUCCUACGGGAGGCAGCAGUGGGGAAUAUUGCACAAUGGGCGAAAGCCUGAUGCAGCAACGCCGCGUGAGGGAUGACGGCCUUCGGGUUGUAAACCUCUUUUAGUAGGGAAGAAGCGAAAGU
rnacentral:rRNA from 1 species